GCCGGCGUAGCCCAAAGGCAGAGGCCCGGUCUUUAGGUGGCCGUCAGUGCGGGUUCGAAUCCCGCCGCCGGCA
rnacentral:tRNA from 1 species